GGUGAUUUGAGAGGAGCUCAAUAGUGGCGAAUUUGCGCACUUGACGCCAAUAAGGUCCAUACGGUGCAAAGGCUAUCAUGGCAGAGUUGUAACCCAAAAUUUCCCAGCUUGCAAGCUUUGGACGAGUGGCAAACGCUUUAUCGUUUAUGGUUACCCAAGCUUAUAUGAGGUGGUUGUGGCCCUCCUAAGAGGCGGAGAUGACCAAUAAUAGGCCAUGCUCCACCAGCUUCUGGUGCUGUUUUCUUCAAGUUUGUGUUUCUUCUUGAGAUCCAUAGGAAAGAGAAAAGAAACAGUAGUGGAAAAGUAAUGAUUGCAACAGUUGAUGUUACUGUGACUGAAUGAAAAUAAUCCAUUUCUGGAUUCUUACUUUAAUCUAAGAUCUAUACGCAAUAGCAGAGAUGAGAGAGUUGGAUUUAUAGGGUUAAUUUAAUGUCACCGCAGCGCAGGGGUAUCAUCAUUCACCAUUUAUUCAACCGAUAGCAUCCCUAUUUGCCUUUUAACUUAUGGUUCAGAAGGUAAUAAAUUCUCUCUAUGAAUUUUGGGUCUCGUUGUGGAAAACAGUGUAUUGACCUAGGAAAUUCAUAGAUCUAUAUGCGGGAGUUGGAUUUAUAGGGUUAAAUAAUGUCACAGCAUCGCCUAUCAUUAUUGACCACUCUUUCAACCGAUAGCAUUUUUUUUUUGUCUUUUAAUAUAAGGUUGGAAAGAAAGAUAUAUAUAUAUUCUCUUUUCAUUUUGUCUCCCA